CCUGAGGGCCGGGCCGGGCCGGGCCGGGGGUGGGGGCGCCUGGACGGCUGCGGGCGCGGCUCGAGCCCAGGGGCCCCCUUCUCCGCCCGCCUCAGCCCCGUCACCUGUAGAGUGGGGUCCAGGGGGCCGUCUGAGGCCCCUUCCAGGUCCUGGGACGAGGUCAGCAGGAAGGAUCGACUCCUAGGGUCGCCCUCCCACUUCCUGCCACAAGAGCUUCGAGGGACCAUGUUGUCAAUAAUAAUAAUAAUGCCUUUUUUUUUUUUUUUUUUGGUUACACGGAGAAGAGAGGGCGGGGCAGGGAUUCAGGCGAGGUCUGUGUACCCAAGGCUGAGACCCCUCUGCCGCUCUUCCCGGGUUUGUUUGAUGUCCAUAUUUAUGAGAUCAGUUAACACCCCAACAAUACCAUGAGUGAGGAGCAAUUACUGAUCCCCUUUCACAGAUGAAGAAACUGAGACUCAGAGAGGGAGGUGACUUGUGGAAAGCCACACAGCUGGGAAGAGCAGUCUGGUUCCAGGGCGUCUGGGUCUCUAAGGUCACUUGAGUACCCCAGCCCCGUUCCAGGGAUAGAGAGACCCCAAACCUCGGCUCUGCUCUGAGCACAGAGACGUAUGUGGCCCCAGAUGUCUCCCCCAGAGUGACCUGGAGGGUGCAGGGGAGGACCCCCUUCAGCGGUGCAGUGCCAGGAGCAAUAGCAGCCAUCUUGCAAACAAGAGGAAAAAGCCAAGAGAAUUGCAGAGACACCAGCCCUGACAUCAUUUGCCUGGAAAAACAAUGCCAGCCAUAGCUGAUCUCCAAGCUCACCGUGAUAGGGGAAAAUAAACUCUUUGUCAAGCCAC
rnacentral:lncRNA from 1 species